UAUUUCGAUGGCAAAAAGGAUGAUUGAGAUGGAUCUCAUCAUGAGAAGAGUAUCAAGACAGGGACAUGAUGGAGAGAAUGAAGGUUGGUGCUCGAUGCAUAUGAUUGAGUUUUUUUUUUGGAAGAAUUGAGGAAACAUAGCUCCAUGGAAGUUCAUCUGCAUAAUGACUGUCUAUACAAUUAUUGGAAUGGAUGAGGGGAGACAUAGGCGUAGUUGCAGUCAUGAUGUCCUUGAACAAAUGUAUAGCCAUUAGUUCCUGGUCUAUUACUUCUCAUGGCUACUUGAAUAUGUCAGAGCCGUGUGACAAUUUGAUCUUUUGGUAUAUGUGUGUUUAUUUUAUUGUUUUUCUUUUUGGCAUUUCUCCAUUUCAGUACUGGGUAUUGUGUAUGUUAUCUUGUGAAAGCGUUGCCAGCGGA